CAGCACACCGGCUUUUCUCUCCCCACAACCUAAAUGUUUGACUUUUCCUGCCCCUUCAUUCUUCCCUAAAAGAGGCUCCUCCACCAUCCCUCUUACCUGAACUUCCUGCAUGGCCAGCCAAGUCCCAGUGAGUGGUGUACAUUACAGGGAAUACAUGUUGACCUGGACACUAUUUGUCCUGCAGCUGGUUAUAUUAGUAGCACGACCUUAACUGGGAGCAAAGCUUCCUAAUGAGCUGAAAAACUGCUGUUGAACUGCUCUUAGAAGUUGUUGAGAAAUUGCUGCUUGUUCCCUGUUACUCUUCAAAGGAGUGUUCUACUAGAGCCAUCUUGAUUAGUCAUCCCCAAUGCUUCCCCAUGGACAUUUAGAAAUAUAAAGUAUGGAAACACAUGUGGGGCCCAG